GGAACCGGGGGUGAGGAUGCUGGUCUUCCUCCCGGCAAGGGGCUAGAGCCCGGCCGAGGGGAUACAGCCUGAUGAGGAGGUAGGAGCACAGCGGGAAGGAUGCAGCCAGGCCGAGGGGAUGCUGCGGGCUGGAGGGGAUGCAGGUGGGCUGGGGGAUGACAGCUGGUGAAGGGGUAGGAGCGUAUGGAAGGGAUGCAGCCAGGCCAGGGGGAUGCAGCCCGGUGGGAAGGAUGCGGCGGGGCUGGGGGGAUGCAGGUGGGCUAAGAGGAUGCAGCCUGAUGGGGAGGUAGGAGCCCAUGGAAGAUGCGGCUGGACCAGGGGGAUGCAGCCAGGCUGAAGCAGGACCCGGUGGGAGGGAUGCAGCUGAGCCAGGGGGAUGCAGCCCGGUGGAAGGGGUGCAGGUGGGCUGGAGGGGAUGCUGCCUGGUGAGGAGUCAGGAGCCCAUGGAAAGGAUGCAGCUGGGCCAAGGGGAUGCAGCCUGGAAGAAGCGGGAGCCCAUGGAUGAGGCCAGGCCAGGGGGAUGCAGCCUGGGGCAAGGGGGGAUGCAGGGUGCCUGGAGGCAGUCAAGAAUAAUCAAGCCUGGCCAACAAGCUCCGUAGUUAUUUGGGAGAGAUGGAGCCAGAAUGAUGCUACAAGAAACUCCACCGUUCCGGUUCCCCCGAGCGAAGCUCCUGCCCCCCCGGACAUCCUUGGCUUCGGAUAUUUGACUUUAUUCCCAGUUGAUGUCCCCAUCCUGCUCCAUAUCAACACCACGGAGAACACAACCCAAACCUCCAAUAGCUUUAUCCAUCAAAUUAAACCAGCCACGCUUGCAGGGGUCAUCUUGCUCUGAGGAAGGACAUGGCUAACAAAGUUUGAAAUUGGCUGGGUUUUGCCUUAUUUUCAUGAGAUGUUUGAAUUUCCAGGCUUGCCCCCAUGCUUGGAUGACCAUAUGUGUCUGGAUUCCUGAGAAAGGAGAAGGUAAUAUAAUAUGAAGAUAAUAGAAUAUAAUAUCAAAUAAUAAUAUAACAAAAUAUCAUGUAAUAUAGUAUCAUAUCAUAAUCAAAAAGGGGAUGCCAGACUGUCAUUCCCAAACUGUAAAGAAUAGAAUGGCACGGAAUGGGAUAGAAUGGAAUGAAUAUAAUAGAAUUAAUAUAGCAUAAUGUCAUAUAGUAUAAUGUAAUAUAACUUCAUUAUCAUAUAAUAAUCAAAAAGGGGCUGCCAGACUAUCAUUCCCAAGCUGUAAAGAAUAGAAUGGAAUGGAUAGAAUUAAUAUAACAUAAUAUAAUGUAAUAUCAUGUAGUAUAACAUAAUAUAAUGUAAUGUAUCAAAAUCAAAAGGAGGAUGCCAGACUAUCAUUUCCAAACUGUAAAGAAUAGAAUGGAAUGGAAUUAAUAUGAUAUAAUACAACGUAACAUAACGUGACAUAAUGUAAUACAGUAUCAUAUAAUAACUGAAAA